UUUUACAUCUCUAGGGUACAGGGGAGACAGCCAUCUCAGUACUCAGUCCUUUCUCCUUAAGUGUUGGGAAAGACGAUGGCCUACUAAAAGAAGCUAGAAGACAAUGGGAAAGAAGAAAACAUUAAGUUGAUUUGAGCUAAGAAACCAUAAGCCUUGGUAGCACUGACACUUCUCAAACAUCAUGCAUAACUACAUCAACCUCGAGGACUUUCACUUCCUUCUCUUCAGUGGCACUGAAGGCCAAUUCAGUGAUUACCAGGAUACAGUUGCAGCAAAGGUCCCAGCACAUGGGCUCACUGAGAAAACAGACUUCCUACCACUGUCAUGAGGUUCACUGGGAGGUUAAAAACAUGGAGAGUUAUCUUCAAGUAUAGAAAGAGUAAAGUUUAUUGUGUAAACAUUUACACUGUGAGCUGACCUUCUUCUGACUUCAACUGGUAAAGAGUCCAGGGGGAAAUGUUUUGGGGCAGGAGUCCAGGAAGCUGAAUGGAGUGGGAAGAUAAAGAGUGGUCUGCAGUUGAACAGGGCAGUGGGGAGAAAGACAGAUGAAUGCUCCCCUGGUCCAUGAGAAGGACUGCACAGUUUUGGAAACAGAUUCCAUGACACCGAUCUCAGAGACAAGCUGCUCCCUGUGUCCUUAUCAGAACAGUUGCUCAGAAAUCCAGGAAGACAGAGCACUUCCUUGAGGGUGCAGAGGUGGAGGGCAUCUCAGGGGCAUGAUGUAACACUCCCACUGUGUCAUGUUUUGAACUACACACCACAGUUGAGAUCCUCUGGGCAAUUCCCGGUUCAGGCACCUGAGAGCUCUCCUGAAGUUAAGCUGAGA